UAAUCUGCCUUGUUCGGUGAAAUAUAGUUCAUUUGAUCCAACACAUUUUUUAAGGGAAUCCGUCUCCGUGUGCGGACUGCAGACCUCCCGCCCUGCGGAAGAAGGGAGCGAGAAACACUCGGGCGCUUACCCACCUGCUGAGUGCGGGUUUCAUUCACUAUAUGACGGCAAGGCGGAUAUU
rnacentral:other from 1 species